rnacentral:tRNA from 1 species
GAGGGUAUAGCUCAAGUGGUAGAGCACAUGCUUAGCAUGCAUGAGGUCCUGGGUUCAAUCCCCAGUAUCUCCU